GUUAAAAUCAGACCGUUUCGGAAUGGAAAU
rfam:Methanocaldococcus jannaschii DSM 2661, complete genome.